rnacentral:rRNA from 1 species
GGUGGCAGUGCUAACCACUGCCUGUGUAUCAUAACUGUUUCAAAAUGAAGCUCACUGAAGCUAAGCAGUGCUGUGCCUGGUCAGUACCUGGACGGGAGACCACAUGGGAAAGUUAGGUUACUGCCAGAA